AAUGGGAAUUAAUCUGGGCUAGCUUUGCUUGAGGAUUUCUAUCACGGGAAUGAAUUGAUCUGUUGUUGAACCUGUUGUCUAGGGAUAGCUUGAUUGCGCUUGUUAACCAUUCGAAUAGGCUAGGAUACCACUUUAUUCGAUUACCCCAUCCUUAGGAAUUUCUCGUCUAUCUGAUUUCUCUGUUUUAUCAUUAUUGCUUAAUCGUUCUCAUUGCUUGUUUCUUUAUUUUUGCAAUUAUUCGACCAGUAUACUCGACCACACCUAGUGUCUGGCAACAAACUGUGCAGUCGAGUAUAUCUGUUUCAUAUCCUGUCUGUUACUCAACCUGUUACUCGACCACAUCCUACUUCUGGCAUCAGCCUGUUGUGGUCGAGUGAUUUUAAUAAUUCUGUUAUUA
rnacentral:sRNA from 1 species